UACGGGGGGGGCAAGCGUUGUUCGGAAUUACUGGGCGUAAAGGGCUCGUAGGCGGCCAACUAAGUCAGACGUGAAAUCCCUCGGCUUAACCGGGGAACUGCGUCUGAUACUGGAUGGCUUGAGUGUGGGAGAGGAAUGCGGAAUUCCAGGUGUAGCGGUGAAAUGCGUAGAUAUCUGGAGGAACACCGGUGGCGAAGGCGGCAUCCUGGACCAAUAUUGACGCUGAGGAGCGAAAGCCAGGGGAGCAAACGGG
rnacentral:rRNA from 1 species